UUGGAGGGCAAGUCUGGUGCCCGCAGCCGCGGUAAUUCCAGCUCCAAUAGCGUAUAUUAAAGUUGUUGCAGUUAAAAAGCUCGUAGUUGAAUUUCGGGGUUAGUAGGUUGGUCAUGCCACUGGUAUGUACUGGUCUCACUGAUUCCUCCUUCCUGAUGAGCCGUAAUGCCAUUAAUUUGGUGUUGCGAGGAAUCUGGACUGUUACUUUGAAAAAAUUAGAGUGUUUAAAGCAAGCUAACGCUUGAAUACAUUAGCAUGGAAUAAUGAAAUAGGACGUUCGAUCUUAUUUUGUUGGUUUCUAGGAUUGACGUAAUGAUUAAUAGGGAUAGUUGGGGGCAUUAGUAUUCAAUUGUCAGAGGUGAAAUUCUUGGAUUUAUUGAAGACUAACUACUGCGAAAGCAUUUGCCAAGGAUGUUUUCAUUAAUCAAGAACGAAAGUUAGGGAUCGAAGGCGAUCAGAUACCGUCGUAGUCUUAACCAUAAACUAUGCCGACUAGGGAUCGGAUGAUGUUAAUUUUUUAAUGACUCAUUCGGCGCCUUACGGGAAACCAAAGUGUUUGGGUUC
rnacentral:rRNA from 1 species